CGUUGAGCUCCUUAUUUUUUUUUACUGUUGUCUAGUCUCCUCUCUGACUUGACCGUCGGAGGGUCCCCGCCGGAGCCACCUCCGAUCAGUGCGGACUUUUUUUUGCAGGCGUUCGCUCCCGGUGACGAGGCGACGAGGGGAUUGGCCGCAACACUUUGACAUCUAUGCACGCAUCAUUCCCUUCCUCUCCGGUUGCCUCAUCUUCUCUUUACGGCUUCACAUUGUCAACG
rnacentral:lncRNA from 1 species